CGCGUAGGCGGAUGUUACAGUCAGGCGUGAAAUUCCUGGGCUCAACCUGGGGGCUGCGUUUGAUACGUGAUGUCUGGAGUUCGGAAGAGGGUCGUGGAAUUCCCAGUGUAGAGGUGAAAUUCGUAGAUAUUGGGAAGAACACCGGCGGCGAAGGCGGCGACCUGGUCCGAUACUGACGCUGAGGCGCGAAAGCGUGGGGAGCAAACAGGAUUAGAUACCCUGGUAGUCCACGCUGUAAACGAUGUGCGCUGGAUGUUGGGUGACAUAGUCAUUCAGUGUCGUAGCUAACGCGAUAAGCGCACCGCCUGGGGAGUACGGCCGCAAGGUUGAA
rnacentral:rRNA from 1 species